rnacentral:rRNA from 1 species
AUGAAUUGGCGAUCAGAACACAUAUGGGUAGAACUUCUAAAAGGUUCUCGAAAAAGGGGUAAUUUUUUCUGGGCCUAUAUUCUUUUUGAGAACAUUAAGGCCGGCUCCUCCGUCGAUAAGGGUCUUGGUGACUGCUACGUUGCAGAUGGUGGGGGUGCAGAGCAUCGGGAGCAUGCCGGCGCCUGCUGUGGUUGCGAGGUGGUCCCUUGA